UACGGGGGGGGCAAGCGUUGUUCGGAAUUACUGGGCGUAAAGGGUUUGUAGGUGGCUCGCUAAGUCAGACGUGAAAUCCCUCAGCUUAACUGGGGAACUGCGUCUGAGACUGGCAAGCUUGAGUGCAGGAGAGGAACGCGGAAUUCCAGGUGUAGCGGUGAAAUGCGUAGAUAUCUGGAGGAACACCGGUGGCGAAGGCGGCAUCCUGGACCAAUUCUGACACUGAGGAGCGAAAGCCAGGGGAGCAAACGGG
rnacentral:rRNA from 1 species